UCACAGCCGAUAUAAUAACGAUCGUCAGCCCGUCUGAUAUUGGAGACUUUGAACGAUGGUUGAAGAGAUAGAAACGGACGAAAACAGCAGAUUUGGAACAUUUGAAGCACUACCGUUCGCGUUCCCCUGAUCAAGACUCGAUCGCUGAUAUUAAAAUCGAAGAGUUAGAAUUAAUUGGGACACGAAACAACUAUACUCUUUGAAGCCUGGAAAAUACGAUAGAUCUAGUUGAGACUCAACAGUCAAUAUAAGUUAUGUGGGGAGAAAAUGAGCUACUGGACCCUCUUAAACAGCGACUUUUUCAAAAAAAAUUUAGACGGUCAACGGCUGGCAUCGAACCAGUCAUCUCUGGUUUCGGCCUAGGAAAUUAGGCGCUCGAGCUAGUCAGGCUGUUGAUGUGUACGAUCUUGUGUGGUAUUUAUAUAGUCAUAAUAUGUAAUGACUAAUAGUGUGAGAUCUCUUUUAAAGAUUCGAAUUACUGUUUGAUGUAUAUAACUGUUCAAUGUUUUUGUUGCAUUAAAAAAGAAGCUGCGGAUUAGUUUCAAGAUCCGCCAGUUUUAAGUUUGCUAAGCUAGUCUUUAUAUUAACUGUGAGUAAUAGUUAAAUUUUGAUAUUAUACUUAUAUUUAUUAUUGUAAAGCUGUAAUAUUAUGCUAUCAUGAUGUUUUCUCCUAAUUAUAGCUUGCAUACAACAUUAUAUACUUUGCUGUGAUCAGGAAUCACAAUUGACAAUACUUCUUUAGUGUUAAUGAUUGUACGCGAUUUGAAGCCUUGAUUUGAUUUCAUUAGGACCUCCACUUAUGUUCGGAUGACAGAA